CCUACGGGGGGCAGCAGUGGGGAAUAUUGCACAAUGGGCGCAAGCCUGAUGCAGCAACGCCGUGUGAGUGAAGAAGGCCUUCGGGUCGUAAAACUCUGUCCUAUGGGAAGAAAAAAAUGACGGUACCAUAGGAGGAAGCCCCGGCUAACUACGUGCCAGCAGCCGCGGUAAUACGUAGGGGGCAAGCGUUAUCCGGAAUCACUGGGCGUAAAGGGUGCGUAGGCGGCUAAGCAAGCCAGGGGUGAAAGGCAUUGGCUCAACCAAUGUAAGCCUUUGGAACUGUUUGGCUUGAGUGCAGGAGAGGUAAGUGGAAUUCCUAGUGUAGAGGUGAAAUUCGUAGAUAUUAGGAGGAACACCAGUGGCGAAGGCGACUUACUGGACUGUAACUGACGCUGAGGCACGAAAGCGUGGGUAGCGAACAGGAUUAGAUACCCCCGUAGUC
rnacentral:rRNA from 1 species